AGCGAACGCUGGCGGUAGGCCUAACACAUGCAAGUCGAACGGCAGCACAGUAAGAGCUUGCUCUUACGGGUGGCGAGUGGCGGACGGGUGAGGAAUAUAUCGGAAUCUACUUUUUCGUGGGGGAUAACGUAGGGAAACUUAAGCUAAUACCGCAUACGACCUACGGGGGAAAGCAGGGGAUCUUCGGACCUUGCGCGAUUGAAUGAGCCGAUGUCGGAUUAGCUAGUUGGCGGGGUAAAGGCCAACCAAGGCGACGAUCGGUAGCCGGUCGGAGAGGAGGAUCGGCCACACUGGAACUGGGACACGGUCCAGACUCCUGCGGGAGGCAGCAGUGGGGAAUAUUGGGCAAUGGGCGCAAGCCUGAUCCAGCCAUACCGCGUGUGUGAAGAAGGCCUUCGGGUUGUAAAGCCCUUUUGUUGGGAAAGAAAAGCAGCAGGUUAAUACCCCGCUGUUCUGACGGUACCCAAAAAAUAAGCACCGGCUAACUUCGUG
rnacentral:rRNA from 1 species